rfam:Oryzias latipes DNA, scaffold5592, strain: Hd-rR.
CCAACGGCUCUUUUAAGAGCCACACACAUGAUCUCAAGAGUUCACG